rnacentral:misc_RNA from 1 species
UUAAGUUCAGCGGGUAUCCUCGUCUGAUCUGAGGUCAAACUUCAAGGUGAGUUUUUUCAGGCGGAAGCCUUGUCGACCAGUUCAACAAUAUAUUUCUACUAUGUUUAGCUGGGUCAGCAGGCCCGCGGAGCGCGCAACUUUAAAGCCGGUCCCCCAACCGAAGCCGGGUAAGGACAGAGCUCAGCACCGGCAGCCAAAAG